UGAAAUUUUACGUCGUGAAAAGUGAAGUUUUUGAAAUACUCAAAUACAAAUACUCUGAAAAUGUUGUAACCACUUAUUCCCACUUUCAAGAUUGAACGUAAAAGGGGAGAAAAAUUAGGAACAAGGCUUCCUGCUCUGACAAGUUCGGUACCAGUUCUUUCCGAGGAGGAUCAAAGCAGUACGAGUCUUCAGUGUGUCUUUGUCCUAUGUGGUUUGUGAUUUCGUCGUGUGUGGCUGAAAUAUUGUUUCAAUGCGGCGUUCAUAUCCAAUAUUAGCACAAUUGAUGGCAAUUCUUGCACGAGGCUUGAUGCUUUCCACCAAUACUGAGUUCAGAUAAGAUUUGAUUGAGCGCCACCAAACCGAAUAAAACAUCAUACAGAUGUUUAACUAAUUGUAUGGAAGCAAGAGUUACUUUUCUUGUGUAGUCUCCAAUAUUUACACGUUUGUACAUGUAGACUGUUCAUAUUGGCGUGAAGCAACUUAAGGUGAUUCAGGAACUGUUAAAAAUAUUGAGCAGUUGUAAAUAAAUAUUUAUAGUGCAAGUAUACUUUUCCUGUGUAGUCUCCAAUGUUUACACGUUUGUGGAUGUAGACCGUUCAUAUAAGCGUGUGGCAACUUAACGUGAUUCAGAAACUGUUAAAAGACAUUGAGCAUUUGUGAAUAAAUAUUUGUAUAUCAAGUAUACA